rnacentral:piRNA from 1 species
UACCAUCAGCCUUCUAACAUCCUGUUGUGGU